rnacentral:rRNA from 1 species
UUCGGUAGCUAGUGGCGAACGGGUGAGUAACACGUAGAUAACCUGCCCAUACCCGGGGGAUACGCUUUGGAAACGAAGUCUAAAACCCCAUAGGAAGAUUUAAGGCAUCUUAAAUUUUUGAAAUAAGCUUUGGCUUAGGGGAUGGAUGGAUCUGCGGUGCAUUAGCUAGUUGGUGAGGUAACAGCUCACCAAGGCGAUGAUGCAUAGCCGGCCUGAGAGGGCGAUCGGCCACACUGGGACUGAGACACGGCCCAGACUCCUACGGGAGGCAGCAGUAGGGAAUUUUCGUCAAUGGGCGCAAGCCUGAACGAGCAAUGCCGCGUGGGUGAAGAAGGUCUUCGGAUCGUAAAGCUCUGUUGCGAGGGAAAAAGGAAGAGAAGAGGGAAUGAUUCUCUUUUGAUGGUACCUCGCCAGAAAGUCACGGCUAACUACGUGCCAGCAGCCGCGGUAAUACGUAGGUGGCGAGCGUUAUCCGGAAUGAUUGGGCGUAAAGGGUGCGCAGGCGGCAUAUCAAGUCUGAAGUGAAAGGUACGGGCUCAACCUGUACAGGCUUUGGAAACUGGUAUGCUCGAGGACAGGAGAGGGCGGUGGAACUCCACGUGUAGCGGUAAAAUGCGUAGAGAUGUGGAAGAACACCAGUGGCGAAGGCGGCCGCCUGGCCUGUAACUGACGCUCAGGCACGAAAGCGUGGGGAGCAAAUAGGAUUAGAUACCCUGGUAGUCCACACGGUAAACGAUGAAUACUCGCUGUUUGCGAUAUACUGCAAGCGGCCAAGCGAAAGCGUUAAGUAUUCCACCUGGGGAGUACGCCGGCAACGGUGAAACUCAAAGGAAUUGACGGGGGCCCGCACAAGCGGAGGAACAUGUGGUUUAAUUCGAUGAUACGCGAGGAACCUUACCCGGGCUUAAAUUGCAGAUGAAUUACGGUGAAAGCCGUAAGCCGCAAGGCAUCUGUGAAGGUGCUGCAUGGUUGUCGUCAGCUCGUGCCGUGAGGUGUCGGCUUAAGUGCCAUAACGAGCGCAACCCUUGUUGUCAGUUACUAACAGGUUCCGCUGAGGACUCUGACAAGACUGCCAUCGUAAGAUGUGAGGAAGGUGGGGAUGACGUCAAAUCAGCACGGCCCUUACGUCCGGGGCUACACACGUGUUACAAUGGGGGGUACAGAGGGCCGCUACCACGCGAGUGGAUGCCAAUCCCCAAAACCUCUCUCAGUUCGGACUGGAGUCUGCAACCCGACUCCACGAAGCUGGAUUCGCUAGUAAUCGCGCAUCAGCCACGGCGCGGUGAAUACGUUCCCGGGCCUUGUACUCACCGCCCGUCAA